rnacentral:rRNA from 1 species
UACGUAGGGAGCAAGCGUUGUCCGGAAUCAUUGGGCGUAAAGCGCGCGUAGGUGGCCCAGUAAGUCCGUUCUGAAAGUCACAGGCUCAACCCCGGGCCUGCAUUCGAUACGGGCAGACUAGAGUUCGGUAGGGGAGUCUGGAAUUCCUGGUGUAGCGGUGAAAUGCGCAGAUAUCAGGAGGAACACCGGUGGCGAAGGCGGGACUCUGGGCCGAUACUGACGCUGAGGAGCGAAAGCGUGGGGAGCAAACAGG